rnacentral:rRNA from 1 species
UCGAGCGCGCCCUUCGGGGUGAGCGGCGGACGGGUUAGUAACGCGUGGGAACGUGCCCAGAUCUAAGGAAUAGCCACUGGAAACGGUGAGUAAUACCUUAUACGCCCUUCGGGGGAAAGAUUUAUCGGAUUUGGAUCGGCCCGCGUUAGAUUAGAUAGUUGGUGGGGUAACGGCCUACCAAGUCUACGAUCUAUAGCUGGUUUUAGAGGAUGAUCAGCAACACUGGGACUGAGACACGGCCCAGACUCCUACGGGAGGCAGCAGUGGGGAAUCUUGGACAAUGGGGGCAACCCUGAUCCAGCCAUGCCGCGUGAGUGAUGAAGGCCUUAGGGUCGUAAAGCUCUUUCGCCAGAGAUGAUAAUGACAGUAUCUGGUAAAGAAACCCCGGCUAACUCCGUGCCAGCAGCCGCGGUAAUACGGAGGGGGUUAGCGUUGUUCGGAAUUACUGGGCGUAAAGCGCGCGUAGGCGGACCAGAAAGUUGGGGGUGAAAUCCCGGGGCUCAACCCCGGAACUGCCUCCAAAACUCCUGGUCUAGAGUUCGAGAGAGGUGAGUGGAAUUCCGAGUGUAGAGGUGAAAUUCGUAGAUAUUCGGAGGAACACCAGUGGCGAAGGCGGCUCACUGGCUCGAUACUGACGCUGAGGUGCGAAAGUGUGGGGAGCAAACAGGAUUAGAUACCCUGGUAGUCCACACCGUAAACGAUGAAUGCCAGUCGUCGGGUAGCAUGCUAUUCGGUGACACACCUAACGGAUUAAGCAUUCCGCCUGGGGAGUACGGUCGCA